rnacentral:rRNA from 1 species
GACGAACCGUGCGAACGUUAUUCGGAAUCACUGGGCUUAAAGCGCGUGUAGGCGGAUGGGUGCGUCGGAACCUGAAAGCCCCCGGCUCAACCGGGGAAGUGGGGCCGAAACGACCCGUCUGGAGGGACGUAGGGGGAUCUGGAAGCUUCCGGUGGGAGCGGUGAAAUGCGUUGAGAUCGGAAGGAACGCCCGUGGCGAAAGCGAGAUCCUGGACGUCUUCUGACGCUGAGACGCGAAAGCUAGGGAGCAAACGGG